UGUUAUUGGUUAAAGAUGGUUCUUCUCACAUGGCAUCACACUGAACACCAAGAGCUUUCCAUACAUAUUUGUUACAUUACAACCUUAAAGCUCUUCACGAAAGAUGCGUUUUUUCCCGACCUUCGAAAUCAAGGGCAUUCACAAAGGGGGGAUUUUUUUCCCCUACGGCUGUUGGAGCAAUUAAUUUUCCCAAACCAGCUGUUUUGGUUCAGGUGCUCUUUCGUACAAGGCAGUGUAAGUGAUUGUAGAAGCCAUGGUUCUUGACUCCAUUUUGUCUACUCCUGUUCUGAGGUCACCAUCUUUCAAGAGGCAGUUUGCAAGGCAUGAGCUGGGUAGUUGGUCAGCAUUGGUGAAGAGGCACCUGUUCCUCUUAUCUGCUCUUGCUCUACUAACUGUUCUCUGUAUCAUAUAUCUAUAUUUUGCGAUUACUUUAGGGGCCAACGAUUCCUGCUUCGGGUUGAGUGGACCUGAGAAAGUCUCCUGUCAGAUGGACCUUGUUAAGGAGGUGUCUGCAGCCAGUGGCAAACUGAAAAGGCUCAAACAAUUCUGAUUGUUUUUAUCUUUCCCUUUAGGUGACAUGAAAUCGAAAUAUAAUUUUUCGACUCAAUGUUAGUAUCAUAUGUAUUAUUUAUGCUAGCAUUUUUUGAGCCAAGAUGUACGAAAUGCAUUGUGAAAAGCAAUUUCUUGAUUGCUAAUUCCAGGGGUUGCUUUAUUCUACCUAAUAUGAGAUCGUUGAGCGCCCUAGCAGACCAAGUGAAGCUUGACUUUUAACAAUGUUUAUGUAUAUGGACUAAUUUGAAACUUCAUAUUCUCUUUUUGUGU